UACGUAGGUGGCAAGCGUUUGUCCGGAUUUAUUGGGUUUAAAGGGUGCGUAGGCGGUCUUAUAAGUCAGUGCUGAAAUAUCCCGGCUUAACCGGGAGGGUGGCAUUGAUACUGUAGGACUUGAGUGAAGUUCGAGGUAGGCGGAAUUGACGGUGUAGCGGUGAAAUGCUUAGAUAUCGUCAAGAACACCAAUAGUGAAGACAGUUUACUAGACUUCAACUGACGCUGAGGCACGAAAGUGUGGGGAUCAAACAGG
rnacentral:rRNA from 1 species